UAUUGCCACGUUGAAACACUGGUUCCUGUGCGAUCACCAAAGUUAAGCAACGUCAAGCCUGGUCAGUAACUAGAUGGGUAACCGCUUGAAAAUACCAGGUGCUGUAA